GAAAAAUAAAACUCUCUGGGUCAGAGCACUCUGCAUUUUAUCAUAUCAUAUUGCCCCGGAGUUUACUCAUUUCUGUCUACUUCUCAUUCAUCGUAUAUGUUCAUGUUCCUUCGAUUCCCUUCUCUAUUUUCCUUUGUUCCAUUGUCCGAAUUCACGUUCCUUUUCGUCCGAAUCCUUAAGCUCUAAACUGGAUCCACCUCACCCACAUACCUAGUCUUCCCUUUUUUGUGGCAAACGCUAUGCUAUAUUACUUCAAUAUAAAAUAUAUUCAUUCUUGCGUGUGCGUGUGUGUGGCAAUAAUGAUGACUCAAAUUCGAUAAUUCCCCCCCAAAAAAAAAAAUUCAAAUGUGAACGGAAAAUGAAAACCCAUUUUCCCCGUUUCCAUUCUUCAACCAUCACAAACCCACCAUCGCCCCAAAGUUGAAUCCUUUCUGUCCCCACAACAUCAAGUGCAGCUUCAUCGGAUGCCCCGAAUUUUGUCCCGUUAUGGAUGUGCGAGGAGAUGGGAUUUUCCCGGAUGAGGUGGUUAUUCAGAUUCUUGCAAGGUUGCCUGUGAAGUCCCUUUUCAGGUUCAAAACCGUGUGCAAACUGUGGUAUAGGUUGUCUUUGGAUAAGUAUUUUAUUCAACUCUACAGGUGUCUAGGAAGAACCCCAUGAUUCUGGUGGAGAUUUCGGAUUCGUCCGAGUCCAAAACUAGCUUAAUCUGUGUUGAUAAUUUGAGGGGGGUAUCUGAAUUUUCACUGAAUUUCUUGAAUGAUAGAGUUAAGGUUCGAGCAUCCUGUAAUGGCUUGCUGUGUUGCUCUAGUAUUCCAGAUAAGGGUGUCUUCUAUGUCUGCAAUCCGGUCACUCGUGAGUACAGGUUGCUUCCAAAGAGUAGGGAAAGGCAUGUGACUCGAUUUUAUCCGGAUGGUGAGGCUACCUUGGUUGGCUUGGCCUGUGAUUCAGCGCAUCAGAAGUUCAAUGUUGUUCUAGCAGGCUACCAUCGCAUGUUUGGACAUAGGCCGGAUGGAAGUUUCAUAUGUUUGGUGUUUGAUUCGGAGUUGAACAAGUGGAGGAAGUUUGUUUCGUUCCAAGAUGACCAUUUUACUCACAUGAAUAAGAACCAGGUUGUUUUUGUCAAUAUUGCUCUGCACUGGUUGACUGCUAGCUCUACAUAUAUACUUGUGCUUGAUUUAAGUUGUGACGUUUGGAGGAAGAUGCAAUUACCGUAUAACUUGAUUUAUGGAACGGGUAAUAGGAUUUAUCUCUUAGACUUAGAUGGCUGCCUGUCUGUUAUUAAAAUUUCAGAAGCAUGGAUGAAUAUAUGGGUGCUAAAAGAUUACUGGAAAGAUGAAUGGUGUAUGGUGGAUAAGGUGAGUCUGAGGUGUAUCAGAGGAAUGGUUCCAGGCAUUUUUCCAAUCAGUCAGACUGGUGAAUGUGUUUUUUUGGCAACUCAUAAGCAGAUUUUGGUGUAUCAUCGCAAGACUCAAAUUUGGAAAGAAAUGUACUCUGUGAAGUAUAGGUCAACACUCCCAUUAUGGUUUUCUGCUCAUGCAUAUCGCAGCACAAUGUUCUCAUGUAACUGAGUCAUGGUGACUGCAUCAAAUGACUUAUGUGCAUAUAUUUCUAGUUGCAAGUGUUUUAUAUUUAGUUAAGCCAUUGUUAUUUGCUCAAGAUAUCAUUUGUUUCUGAUAGUCAUGUUAAAACUGUGAUAUUGGCUUUGCCAUUAUAUUGCUUCACCAUUGUCUCUUGUAACUGGGGUGUGGCUUCAAUAAAUGGCCUUUGUACAUACAUUUCUAGUUGCAACUUGCAAGUGUUUGAUACUCAUUUGCUCAUUGUUAUUUGCUGAAGAUAUUGCAUUUUUCUGAUACAGUA